UACGAAGGGGGCUAGCGUUGCUCGGAAUCACUGGGCGUAAAGCGCACGUAGGCGGACUCUUAAGUCGGUGGUGAAAUCCUGGAGCUCAACUCCAGAACUGCCUUCGAUACUGGGAGUCUUGAGUCCGGGAGAGGUGAGUGGAACUGCGAGUGUAGAGGUAAAAUUCGUAGAUAUUCGCAAGAACACCAGUGGCGAAGGCGGGUCUCUGGGCCGUAACUGACGCUGAGGAGCGAAAGCGUGGGGAGCGAACAGG
rnacentral:rRNA from 1 species